AUCCUAUCUACUUGAUUGUUAAAUUCCUCUUCUGCUGAAGUCGCCCUUUGAAGCUGACUCCACCAGAGACCCGAUUCUUGAACUUUUAAUGCACAUUUGGAAAUCCCGUGUUUAGUUGGCUUAGAUUAUAAACUGCAGGAGAACAAGAAGUGUAUCAAUUAUGUUCCAGUUUCUAGGAUGUACUCUUCUAGUGGAUCCACAAGCAAAA
rnacentral:lncRNA from 10 species